GACGAACGCUGGCGGCGUGCUUAACACAUGCAAGUCGAACGGAAAGGCCCUGCUUUUGUGGGGUGCUCGAGUGGCGAACGGGUGAGUAACACGUGAGUAACCUGCCCUUGACUUUGGGAUAACUUCAGGAAACUGGGGCUAAUACCGGAUAGGAGCUCCUGCUGCAUGGUGGGGGUUGGAAAGUUUCGGCGGUUGGGGAUGGACUCGCGGCUUAUCAGCUUGUUGGUGGGGUAGUGGCUUACCAAGGCUUUGACGGGUAGCCGGCCUGAGAGGGUGACCGGCCACCUUGGGACUGCGGUACGGCCCAGAAUCCUACGGGAGGCAGCAGUGGGGAAUAUGGCACAAUGGGCGGACGCCUGAUGCAGCAACGCCGCGUGCGGGAUGCAGGCGUUCGGGUUGUAAACCGCUUUCGCCUGUGACGAAGCGUGAGUGACGGUACUGGGUAAAAAAGCACCGGCUAACUACGUG
rnacentral:rRNA from 1 species